rnacentral:rRNA from 1 species
AAUAUGGGACAAUGGGCGAAAGCCUGAUCCAGCCAUGCCGCGUUUGUGAAGUAGGUCUUCGGUUUGUAAAUCACUUGACUUUGGGAGGAAGGUCAGUAAGUUAAUACCUUGCUGUUUUGACGUUACCGAAAGAAUAAGCACCGGCUAACUUCGUGACAGCAGCCGUGGUAAUACGAAGGGUGCCAGCGUUAAUCGGAAUUACUGGGCGUAAAGCGCGCGUAGGUGGUUUGUUAAGUUGGAAGUGAAAGCCCUGGGCUCAACCUGGGAACUGCUUUCAUAACUGCUGAGCUAGAGUACGGUAGAGGGUAGUGGAAUUUCCUGUGUAGCGGUGAAAUGCGUAGAUAUAGGAAGGAACACCAGUGGCGAAGGCGACCACCUGGGCUAAUACUGACACUGAGGUGCGAAAGCGUGGGGAGCAAAC